rnacentral:rRNA from 1 species
AUUGAACGCUGGCGGCAGGCCUAACACAUGCAAGUCGAACGAGGGGCGGACGGGUGAGUAAUGUCUGUGAAACUGCCCGAUGGAGGGGGAUAACUACGGGAAACGGUAGCUAAUACCGCAUACCAUCGGAUGGGACCAGAUGGGAUUAGCUAGUAGGUGGGGGAACGGCUCACCUAGGCGACGAUCCCUAGCUGGUCUGAGAGGAUGACCAGCCACACUGGAACUGAGACACGGUCCAGACGCCGACGGGAGGCAGCAGUGGGGAAUAUUGCACAAUGGGCGCAAGCCUGAUGCAGCCAUGCCGCGUGUAUGAAGAAGGCCUUCGGGUUAUAAAGUACUUUCAGCGGGGAGGCGUUACUCGCAGAGGAAGCCCCGGCUAACUCCGUGCCAGCAGCCGCGGUAAUAC